rnacentral:rRNA from 1 species
AGCGAACGCUGGCGGCAGGCUUAACACAUGCAUGUCGAACGCCCCGCAAGGGGAGUGGCAGACGGGUGAGGAACACGUGGGAACGUACCCUUCGGUUCGGAAUAACUCAGGGAAACUUGUGCUAAUACCGGAUACGUCCGAAAGGAGAAAGAUUUAUCGCCGAAGGAUCGGCCCGCGUCUGAUUAGCUUGUUGGUGAGGUAACGGCUCACCAAGUCGACGAUCAUUAGCUGGUCUGAGAGGAUGAUCAGCCACACUGGGACUGAGACACGGCCCAGAGUCCUACGGGGGACAGCAGUGGGGAAUAUUGGACAAUGUGGGCAACCCUGGUCCAGCCAUGCAGAGUGAGUUAUGAAGGCCUUAGGGUUGUAAAGCUCUUUUGUCCGGUAAGAUAAUGACGGUACCGGAAGAAUAAGCCCCGGCUAACUUCGUGCCAGCCGCCGCGGUAA